rnacentral:rRNA from 1 species
UACGUAGGGCGCAAGCGUUGUCCGGAAUCAUUGGGCGUAAAGCGCGCGUAGGUGGCCUCAUAAGUCCGCUGUGAAAGUCAAAGGCUCAACCUUUGAAAGCCGGUGGAUACUGUGAGGCUAGAGUACGGAAGAGGCGAGUGGAAUUCCUGGUGUAGCGGUGGAAUGCGCAGAUAUCAGGAGGAACACCUGUGGCGAAAGCGGCGCACUGGACCAUAACUGACGCUGAUGCGCGAAAGCUAGGGGAGCAAACAGG